CCUAACUCCCGCCUUCCCCAGCCCGCCAGCCAAUGACCAAUGAAGACGGACUAGGCCCGCACCGCGCGAGGCACCCAGGAACUCAGAGGAACGGGGGAACUCUGCUCCUGCGGGGUCAGCGGGAGUGCUCCCUAGGGCUGAAAGCUGGAAGUGGUGAGGAGGCCGCCUAUGGGACCUCGGAGACAGCUUUCUCAGCCCCAGUUCAAGCACGUAACCACGAAGUCCUGCAUCCCACUUCUAGACUGAACUAGACAACUCUCAGAGAAAGCGACGAAUCUGCCUCCAGCUUCAUCCUGUGUGAAGAUAAAAUACUAUUUUCAGAAAUUUCUUGGAGGUUUAUAGAAAUUGCUUUAUUCUGCUGACUCAUGUACCAUCCACCCAUUUUCUUUACUUCCCCAUUAUUGAUAAUAAGAAGUGUUUUUGAAAUAUAAAUACAAAUCAUAAUAAACUGAAUUGAACACAUGACCACACAAUCACAACUAUGUGUCUGUCUACCACUGCCUUUAUUCUCAGGGUGAACGUAUAUCCUUUUGCAGAAGCAUCACAUUUUCGAUAUAUAAAGUAUAAAAGACACCCCCAAAAGAAAAGUCACCUGUAACUCCACCACCCAAAAAUAACACUUCUAGUC